UACGUAGGUGACCAGCGUUGUCCGGAUUUACUGGGCGUAAAGAGCGCGCAGGCGGUCGUUCAAGUCGAGUGUGAAAGCCCCCGGCUCAACUGGGGAGGGUCACUCGAUACUGAUCGACUUGAAGGCAGGAGAGGGAAGCGGAAUUCCCGGUGUAGUGGUGAAAUGCGUAGAUAUCGGGAGGAACACCAGUGGCGAAGGCGGCUUCCUGGCAUGUUCUUGACGCUGAGGCGCGAAAGCUAGGGGAGCAAACGGG
rnacentral:rRNA from 1 species